AUUGAACGCUGGCGGCAUGCUUUACACAUGCAAGUCGGACGAGUGGCGAACGGGUGAGUAAUAUAUCGGAACGUACCGAGUAAUGGGGGAUAACUAAUCGAAAGAUUAGCUAAUACCGCAUAUUAUUCGAGCGGCCGAUAUCUGAUUAGCUAGUUGGUGGGGUAAAGGCCUACCAAGGCGACGAUCAGUAGCGGGUCUGAGAGGAUGAUCAGCCACACUGGGACUGAGACACGGCCCAGACUCCUACGGGAGGCAGCAGUGGGGAAUUUUGGACGAUGGGCGCAAGCCUGAUCCAGCCAUGCCGCGUGUCUGAAGAAGGCCUUCGGGUUGUAAAGGACUUUGGGCAGGGAAGCGGUACCUGAAGAAUAAGCACCGGCUAACUACGUGCCAGCAGCCGCGGUAAUAC
rnacentral:rRNA from 1 species